AUUGAACGCUGGCGGCAUGCUUUACACAUGCCAGUCGAACGGCAGCGCGGGCUUCGGCCUGGCGGCGAGUGGCGAACGGGUGAGUAAUACAUCGGAACGUGCCCAGUAGUGGGGGAUAGCUCGGCGAAAGCCGGAUUAAUACCGCAUACGACCUGAGGGUGAAAGCGGGGGAUCUUCGGACCUCGCGCUAUUGGAGCGGCCGAUGGCAGAUUAGCUAGUUGGUGGGGUAAAGGCCUACCAAGGCGACGAUCUGUAGCUGGUCUGAGAGGACGACCAACCACACUGGGACUGAGACACGGCCCAGACUCCUACGGGAGGCAGCAGUGGGGAAUUUUGGACAAUGGGCGAAAGCCUGAUCCAGCAAUGCCGCGUGUGUGAUGAAGGCCUUCGGGUUGUAAAGCACUUUUGGCGGGAACGAAAAGGACUGUGCCAAUACCACGGUUCGAUGACGGUACCCGCAGAAUAAGCACCGGCUAACUACGUG
rnacentral:rRNA from 1 species